GGAAUUCUGAAGGCAAGAGUUAUCACCUGCUGCAGGUUCGUGCUGGCCGUGGCCGUCCCAUCCUGGAAGGCGUACUGCGCCGCGUUGGUGGCCUGAGACAGAGCCAGGUCCAGCUGAUUCAGGGUGCACUGGCUCUCCAUGCUGUUGGGCAGGAAGGACUGGAAGACGUCUCCUUGGUCGCUGAACGGGAAGGCCGAGCUGGAGCUCUCCAGCGAGAACACCGAGCUCGCCGAUGGGCCGUACAUCUGCAUUCGACACGGACAAGGUGAGUAAGUAACUAUCGACUCGUUACGGCGCGAUGAGGGUGAUGAACAGCAGGGGUGUGUUUCGAGCUCACGUCUUUGUGCAGGAGCGUGGGCAGGUUGCUGAAGUCGAGCGGGUUCACGGUUGCGAGCUUCAUGGAGAGGAACUGGAGCAACAGAAACAGAGGAGGAGUUGAUCAGGA
rnacentral:lncRNA from 1 species